rnacentral:rRNA from 1 species
AACGAACGCUGGCGGCAUGCCUAACACAUGCAAGUCGAACGAGACCUUCGGGUCUAGUGGCGCACGGGUGCGUAACGCGGGGGAACCUGCCCUUAGGUUCGGAAUAACUCCCCGAAAGGGGUGCUAAUACCGGAUAAUGUCUUCGGACCAAAGAUUUAUCGCCUUUGGAUGGGCCCGCGUUGGAUUAGCUAGUUGGUAGGGUAAAAGCCUACCAAGGCGACGAUCCAUAGCUGGGCUGAGAGGAUGAUCCGCCACACUGGGACUGGGACGCGGUCCAGACUCCUGCGGGAGGCAGCAGUGGGGAAUAUUGGACAAUGGGCGAAAGCCUGAUCCAGCAAUGCCGCGUGAGUGAUGAAGGCGUGAGGGUUGUAAAGCUCUUUUACCCGGGAUGAUAAUGACAGUACCGGGAGAAUAAGCUCCGGCUAACUCCGUG